rnacentral:lncRNA from 1 species
AAUAAUAAUAAUAAUAGCAGAGAUCAAUGAUAUAUCUAAUAUGAUCCACGAAGUAUAAACAAUAUUUCUUAUUUUAAGACUAAAUAUCAAUUUAAAUUGCAUAAUAAAAAGACAAUAGAAAAAACUAUGACUUAUAUUAACAAUACUUACUGUUUACAUAUGCAAUAGCAUGCAAACAGUCUCCAUUCCUGAGGAUAGUAACUCGGAAAGAAGCUGAAGUUACAAUAACACAUAAAGAAGAAAAGUAGAAAGAGUUAUCAGGUGCAUAGAUAACCUUUACAAAGAAAUCCACACCAUAGAAAGAUCUUUACACAGAUAAGACACACUAGCUUGAAGAAUAUUACAUGAAUAAGAAAAGAGAAAGAGAAAGAGCAAGAGCAGGAAAGACUCGCAGAGCAAGAGAGGCUUCUACUAAGCAAGAGGAGAGCGAGAUGCUGAGAGAGUGUGUUGCAAAAGAUGCAAGCUCGUUUUUUAUGAUGCCUUCUUCGUUGUACUUCGUUCGCCUUUUUUAGGGGACGAACUUCAAACGAAUUUAGCUGGAUUAGAGUAUGAGGCCAGGUGGAAAAGGAAAAGAUUCCUUCAGUCGGCUGAAUAGCGAGACAGCUGGAAGAUUGCUUUGGAUAGGUGGAAAGUUGAAAGAUUCUUUUGGUCUUCAGAUGUGACCUUAAUGGUUGCUUUAUAAAGUUUUCCAGGGCUGAUUGGCUGCUAGCUGUGAUGGAUUGUCGUCUUUCGUCGGCUAUUGAAGUGAUAUUGUCGGUGGAGCUGCUUUACGUACAACUUUAUGUACAGUGACAACAGCUUUAUGUACAACAACUUUAUUGACAACAACUUUAUGGCAGCAACUUUAUGUACAGUGAUGACAUGUGGUACUUUAUGUACAGUGAUGACAGGUGGUAGAUUCCUUCUUCUUUAUCUACAGGUAAUUUUGUCGGCCGCUUUAUUUCGGGUCUUCGGGUUAGAACUGCGGCCUCUAGCUAAACUCAUCAUCAUCUUCAUUUUCUGUCUGAGAUGCUGAAUUCUCUUCAGAUUCUUCUUCGAAAAUGUGCAGAAGUUGCUUUUCCAACUCUUCCUUGAUGGCUUUAGGGUUUAGUUUGCGCAUUCUCUUAACAUAGUCAGAAAACUGAGUUAAGAGUUUCAUUGGGAGAAUUAUAUUAAGGAUUAUUUGGGGAUAGGUCUAGUAUUCUUUUUAAUUUUAUAAACUCAGGCUCCAGAUACGUAGUAUAAAAAACAACCCACCAUUUUAUGAAAAUUCUUUUCCCAAUCUAGGGAUAUAUUCAAAAGUAUCAUCAUUAUUUUCUGAGAUUCCAUACUCCCACUUAACAAUCCAAGGAAUCUGAUAUAUUGACAUAAAGUAUAAAUGAUAAUCUAUAUUUAUAUUUUUACCAUUAUAUUCGGCAAACUUUCCCAGAGAUAAUUGCACCUUUUCGAGCAAUAUUUGUGAUCUUGAUCCAAUAUCGAAACCAACUGGGAAAUGGUUCAAAAAUUGGCAUUUUAAAUUGCACAAAUCAAGUAUGGGAAUAAUUCGUAUUUUGAUAUGCAAAUAUUUUGUGCCAAGCAUCAAUGUAUUCAGAAUAUUUAAAAUACCUAUUUGGGAACUCUGGAUUCUGUAAUUUUUUUCCACAAGUAGUAGGAUAAUAUUUUCCGUAUUUGCAAUUUGCUAUAUUAAAUCGUCUUUGUAUUGUUAUGAUAGAAAUGAACAAGAGAAAUUGAGUCAGUUUCUAGUAGAAUGGCUUCAUACCAUUCUCUAGAUUUAUUUCCAAUGGAUGAGCUCAGAUGGUUUAAAAGGUAUAGGGAGGCUAGCUUAUUUGGGUCGGUCUUUAUAUAUUUAUCAUCGAUAAUGAUAUCAAUGAGGAAAGAAGUUUCCUCAAAAACCGAUUUUCCAUAGCUUGAUACUUUAUUUGGGACAGGAGAGGUUAUGAGUCUGGGGUUUGGACUUGUUGGAAUUUGAUUGGAAUAGUCAGAAUAAUUUUGUAUUGAUCUAAUUGGUGACAAAGGUGGAUAGCUGGUUAUAGGUGAGCCUGGUGAUGAUGGUACAAUUUCCAUAGAAAGUUUUCCUUUAUCCAUAUGGAUAUAUUUCUAGAUAAGUUUCUAUUUAUAUUGAAAAGUGACAAAGCCAAAGGCUUUUGCUCUUCCGGUUUGGGGUUAGAGUCUAGAGUCCUUCCCUCCUAGCAAAAAUUCGCGAGUGAGAAAAUCAAGAAGAGAAUUAUGUUUACCACUAAAUUUUGCUCAUCCUAGCCUUGGCGGUCCUCUAGCCUAGGUGUCAAAAAGCUUAACUUUCGGACUAACACUUAAAAUGAGAAAAUUUUAAGAUUCCUAACUCCUAAGUUACUACAAUCACGUGGUAAAACACUAAUGGCCAUUCUUCAAUGGCACUGAUACCAAUUGACACCUAGAUCUAAAAAACAUAAAUUAACAUAAGAAAAGGAGCACUAUACGUUACUAAUCUAUUUUAGAUUCCAAAAAGAAAUAAUAAUAAUAAUAGCAGAGAUCAAUGACAUAUCUAAUAUGAUCCACGAAGUAUAAACAAUAUUUCUUAUUUUAAGACUAAAUAUCAAUUUAAAUUGCAUAAUAAAAAGACAAUAGACAAAACUAAAACUUAUGUCAACAACACUUACUGUUUACAUACGCAAUAGCUUGCAAACAGUCUCCAUUUCUGAGGAUAGUAACUCGGAAAGGAGCUGAAGUUACAAUCACACAUAAAGAAGAAAAAUAGAAAGAGUUACCAGGUGUAGAGAUAACCUUUACUAAGAAAUCCACACCUUAGAAAGAUCUUAACACAGAUAAGACACACCAGCUUGAAGAAUAUUACAUUAUAAAGAAAAGAGAAAGAGAAAGAGCAAGAGCAGGAAAGACUCACAGAGCAAGAGAGGCUUCUGCAAAGCAAGAGGAGAGCGGGAUGCUGAGAGAGUGAGUUGCAGAAGAUGCAAGCUCGUUUUAGAUGAUGCCUUCUUCGUUGUGCUUCGUUCGCCUUUUAUAGGGGAUGGACUUCCAACGGAUUUAGCUGGAUUAGAGUAUGAGGCCAGGUGGAAAAGGAAAAGAUUCUUUAGGUCGGUUGAAUAGCGAGACAGCUAGAAGAUAGCUUUGGACGGAUGGAAAGUUGGAAGAUUCGUUCGGUCUUCAGAUGUGAUCUUAAUGGUUGCUUUAUAAAGUUUUCCAGGGCUGAUUGGCUGCAAGCUGUGAUGGAUUGUCGUCUUUUGUCGGCUAUUGAUGUGAUAUUGUCGAUGGAACUGCUUUAGGUACAACUUUAUGUAUAGUGACAACAACUUUAUGUACAACAACUUUAUCGACAGCAACUUUAUGUACAGUGAUGACAGGUGGUUGAUUCCUUCUUCUUUAAGUACAGGUAAUUUUGUCGACCACUUUCUUUCGGGUCCUCAGGUCGGAACUGCAGCCGCUAGCUAAACUCAUCAUCAUCUUCAUUUUAUGUCUGAGAUGUUGAAUUCUCUUCAGAUUCUUCUUAAAAAAUGUGUAGAAGUUGCCUUUCCAACUCUUCCUUGUUGGCUUUAAGGUUUAGUUUGCGCAUUUUCUUAACAUAGUUAGAAAACUGAGUAAGGGUUUCAUUGGGAGAAUCAUAUUGGGGAUUAUUUAGGGAUAAUUCUGAUAUUCUUUUUAAUUUUAUAAACUCGGGUUCCAGAUGCUUACUAUCAAAAACAUCCCACCAUUUUAUGAAUAUUCUUUUUCCCAAUCUAGGGAUAUAUUCAAAAGUAUUAUCAUUAUUCUCUGAGAUUCCAUACUCCCACUUAACAAUCCAAGGAAUCUGAUAAAUUGACAUAAAGUACAAAUGAUAAUCUAGAUUUUAUUUUUGCCAUUAUAUUCGGCAAACGUUCCUUGAGAUAAUUGCACCUUUUCGGGCAAUAUUUGUGAUCCUGAUCCCCAUAUAAGGAACCAGUAUCGAAACCAACUGGGAAAUGGUUCAAAAAUUAGCAUUUUAAAUUGCACAAACCAAGUAUGGGAAUAAUGCGUAUUUUGAUAUGCACAUAUUUUUUGCCAAGCAUCAAUGUAUUCAGAAUAUUUAAAAUAUCUAUUUGGGAACUCUGGAUUCUGUAAUUUUUUUCCACAAGUAGGGUUACAACCCCAAUCAUCAUAAGAUAAUAUUUUCCUUAUUUGCAAUUUGCUAUAUCCAAUCGUCUUUGUAUUGUUAUGAUAGAAAUGAACAAGGGAAAUUGAGUCAGUUUCUAGUAGAAUGGCUUCAUACCAUUCUCUAGAUUUAUUUCCAUUGGAUGAGCUCAGAUGGUUUAAAAGGUAUAGGGAGGCUAGCUUAUUUGGGUCGGUCUUUAUAUAUUUAUCAUCGAUAAUGAUAUCAAUGAGGAUAGUAGUUUCCUCAAAAACAGAAUUUCUAGAGUUUGAUACUUUAUUUAGGACAGGAGAGGUUAUGAGUCUUGGGUUUGGACUUGUUGGAAUUUGACUGGAAUAGUCAGAAUAAUUUUGUAUUGAUCUAAUUGGUGACAAAGGUGGAUGGCUGGUUAUAGGUGAGCCUAGUGAUGAUGGUACAAUUUCCAUCGGAAGUUUUCCUUUAUCCUUAGUAGAUAUAUUUCUUGAUAUGUUUCUAUUUAUAUUGAAAAGUUAUAAAGCCAAAGGCUUUUGCUCUUCCGGUUUGGGGUUAGAGUCUAGAGUCCUUCCCUCCCAACAAAAUUUCGCGUGUGAGAAAAUCAGGAAGAGAAUUAUGUUUACCACUAAAUUUUGCUCAUCCUAGCCUUGGCGGUCCUCUAGCCUGGGUGUCAGAAAGCUUAACUCUCGGACUAACUCUUAAAAUGAGAAAAUUUUAAGAUUCCUAACUCCUAAGUUACUACAAUCACGUGGUAAAACACUAAUGGCCAUUCUUAAGUGGCACUGAUACCAAUUGACACCAAGAUCUAAAAAACUUAAAUUAACAAAAGAAAAGAAGCUCUAUACGUUACUAAUCUAUUUAUGAUUCCAAAAGGUAAUAAUAAUAAUAAUAGCAGAGAUCAAUGAUAUAUCUAAUGUCAUCCACGAAGUAUAAACAAUAUUUCUUAUUUUAAAACUAAAUAUCAAUUUAAAUUGAAUAAUAAAAAGACAAUAGACAAAACUAAAACUUAUGUCAACAACACGUACUGUUUACAUAUGCAAUAGCUUGCAAACAGUCUCCAUUCCUGAGGAUAGUAACUCGGAAAGGAGCUGAAGUUACAAUCACACAUAAAGAAG